GUUCUUUGCUGGGGCAGGGAGGUAGCAGGGAGGAAGUGGAGAGAACUGGGAGAUUUGAGACGCUCCUUCUGAGCUUUAAGCUACGUGUAGAUAAUAUCUGCAUGUGUGGCACAAUUGAAGCAGCAGUGGCUUUCAGGCUAGUUACUGCAUGGACUAGUAAGGUAGCUCUCCUGCUCUCAGCACCGUGCAUCUGAUGCUCCGUUCUCAGGUACACUCAGAAGAGGAUCAGCUGCUGAUCACAAGUCUGACUCAGCCAUAUCUCAUCGCUACAGCCCUUGGUCACAAGAUGUCUGACUCUAUGUCACCAGCCUAACAGAAGAUCAAAUUGUGCUGCCAAAGCACAGAACACACCCAGCGUCUUGGAUUUCAUCUGUCUUGCAUUUCCUUAAAUAUCAGUUACAGGAAAAGCAGCAACUGAAAUAGAGUUCUCAAAUGUUCUGGAUGGCUUCUGUAACAGGUGCCCAGACCUUGGCACAACUCCAUGAUUGAAGUACCAUUCAGGCCAUUAGACUCAGCACAUAGAUGGCACCACCUGCCAAAAUGAAAACAAAUAUCAGAUCCAUCAAAGUCCAUAGUGAUGGACAUCCCCUAAAUGUACUAACCUUGCUUUUAUUUACUUCUUUAGUUCUGCUUCUGACUAACUGUUCUUGUUAACUGAAGUGUGUCAACCCAGGAUAUGUUUUGGGUUUUUUUUUUUUUUUCAUAAAGGCUUUGUGGUACACUGGGAUCCUGAAUACUGAGUGUGCUCUCCAGCCAGCUAAUAAAGAUUUCUAUUGGCUUAAAUUUGAAUCCAGGCAGUGUUCUCUGGUGAAAAAUCCACAACAAUUUCCAUUAGCCUUUAUGUAGAAAUUCUACUUCUCUGAUGGACCUUCAUGGGAGCUGACGCCAGGAGUAACUUAGACACUCCUCUCCCCUGUAUCCAGGGUCCUGACCUUUGGGUCAGCUCAAUGCUUCAUGACAACUAUAUAAUGGUUCUAAAAUACAACAAAGAUAGACAAUCAACACUCACAGCUUCUUACCCCUAUGACAGAAAAAUAAAAUAAAAAAUUAAAAAUCCCCAAACAGAAAGCCAGGAUAAUGGCCAAACCACUGCUGAGACCCCUUCUGUUGGGACAACAUAAAACUUCAGCUUACUGUUACCCACUCACUGCUCUCCAGACAUAGUAAUGACACAUUGCAGUAAAUGUUCUAAUUUAGCCAAUGAGGCUGAGACUAAUAGUUUCGCCUUCCAGAUGAGCUUUUGGGCAAGAGGUUAAUAUGUCUAAGUUCCCUGUAAGUGACAGAAGAUAUAGUCAAACAAUCUGCUGGAAACUUCUGUAAAAACAAGAAAAAGUAAGAAGAACAAAGGUCAAAAAUUACUGCUGAGGGCUCGACUAGUUUAAAAUCUUUCACUUUCUACCUUACUAAUACAGUUCCUAUGUUAAAAAUUAUUUGUAAAUCAGUCAUGGGGUUAUAAAGAUAUGAAUAAUCACUUAACAUCCACUCACCUCUAGAUUGUAUCCAGCCACUGUGCCAGGACGGCCACAGUUACCCUGUAUGAGAGUCACCUGAGACUAAAAGUAACACUUGUUUUUGGCUUGUUCUGAGAAGUCAGAAAAGACAAUAAUUUUCUCUGUGAGCACUGAUAUAAGAAAAUUCAGAGUCAAGAACUCAGGUUAGGAAGUACUAGCAUGAUUUACAGCUGAAAUAACUGUAGGCAUCAGCUAAAUAGGAAAGUCAUUUAUAAGCUUGAGAAAAAUACCUUCCAGUUUAAGGAAGUUCCAAAGAGAUAGAAGUGAAGUGAAUACGUCUGAGGCAUUACCGAAGCUUAAUUAAACACACAUUAUAAAAAGAAGGAAGACUAAAAAUAACUCCAGGUAACUGUAAAUGUGAUGUCUGAGUCAAGUUGUCCUGAUUAGAUCCAUAUGCAUCUCUAUGUCCAAUAACUGAUACAGUAUAAAUGAAGUUUUCAGUUCUGAAGACGAAAUUGGGCCUUGUGAGAACUGUAUUCUUCACCCUACCCAAUGCCAUUUGAGAUUCUGUGACCUGUGGCCUGAUUGCUCUGCAGGAAGUUGCAAUGUGAAGGAAGGGGACACAUGGCUAGAGUGGUGGUAACACCACUUAGAAAGGAGAUUUGCUUCUUUCUCUCGACUUUUAACAUUAAGGAUCUGUUCAGAAGACAAAAAUUAGUGACUAACUG
ensembl:lincRNA